rnacentral:lncRNA from 1 species
AAAGACUUCAGCAGGUAAAUACAAAGUAAUUUUCCUAGCUGGUAAAAUUCAUCCCCUAGGAAGAUUAACUAGUGUAAAUGUCAAUAUUGCAUGGUUCAUUUAUUGAAAGCCAAACUAUUUGAGUGACUUUGGAUGUGUUAUUACAGUUAAUGAUUCUUAUUAAAAACAACAAAAGAAUGCAUCAAUCAGGAGGUAUAAGGAAAGGAAAAAUAACUUUGAAACAUUGGUUUUCUUCAUAAAUUCAGAUUUGUUGAAAUCUGAGGAGUCUUAUGCUAACAUCAUCUUGGUUAUCUAUUUCUUUGUAACACACUACCCUAAAAGCACCUGGUUUAACCAUUUCAUUUCACUAAUAACGUUAUGUGUCAUAAACUUGCAAUGAACUUGGUUCUUAGGCUGGAUGCUUAGCCUCUGAUGAAAGUAGCUUCAGUUGGGGUGUCUAACAGAGGAUCUACUGGCCAGUCUGUCUCCUCCAUGGUCUUGGUCUUUGUAUUUCAUUUUCUGCAAAGCAAAUCAUCCAAUCAUCCGCUUAGGCUCUUCUUGUGGUUUAGGCUUCUCAGAGUUUGGCAACCUCAGGAUAUUUGAACUUCUUACAAGGUGGAUCAUGGUCCCCAGACAUCCAGGUGAAAUCUGCCAAUCCUUUGAAUUCCUAAAUGCAGAGAUGGCAUCAUGUCCCUUCUAUCACAUUCUAUUUGUCAAAGCAGUCCCAAUUUAGCACAGAUUCAAGGGGAGGAGAAAAAAAAUAGACCCCUACCUCUUUGUGACAAUAAAAUCAAGUGAUUUGUGGCUAUCUUUAAUUUUAAUAUGUAUUUGUUAAAAGGACACUCUUGAAAUAUUCUUUUACUUCCUAGUUUUGCUUGCUCUAUUUCAAACCAGUGCUGCAUUAGUUAACAUGUGGCUCACCAUACACUUUCUAAUGAGAAAGCUUCAAAAAGCUCAAUCCCCAAAUGCCAGUACAAACACUAGCCUGGCAAAAAGUCACCUGAAUUCCUCCCUCUAAUAUACAGAACCCAAGCUGCAUGGACUUGUUCUCCGAACACAGAAAACAUUAUAGUAAACAAGGGAUUUGAGUUUAGAUAUUUACCCAGCUUCUCUGCACCCUGAGCUCUUUUUUUUUUUUUUUUUUUUUUUUUUUGCCUCAAUCCUCUGCCAGGAGAUCCGGCUGCUUUUCUCACACUUUGGCUCCUCACCUCCCCUAAGCUAAUAUGCACUCCCUAGCAAAUUAUAAGCAUUCAGAACUGGAGCAGAGACUGUGGCUUGAGGGUAAAAUUAACUCUACCAGCUGAAUAGUUUCCCCUCUUCAUCAAAAUGUGCAGUUGGAGGCUUUAAAAAAUGUCUAUGUGCAUAAACUUUGUUAUUAGUUGAAAGCGGAAAUAAAUGCUAGAUAAAAAGUUUUCACAUAUGAGAGGCCUGAAACAUUCUAUACUUUUAUGCACCACUUAGUGUGUAGUCAUUUCCUGCUUUGUUCUUUUGUUGCACUAUUUAAAAUGCUUUAUCUCUCAUUUUUUAGUUCAUACAUGUUGGAAAUACUUACUGAAGGUUAUUAUGAACUAUGAUGUUCUUUUAUUGUUGAAGUAUUCCCUACUUUAGAGUUAAUGGGUUUCAUUCAAGGUCCAUGAUCCACCUAAGAUUAAUAGAAAUAAACAUAGUGGUUCAGAGGAUGGAUUUUAGAGGCAAACUAACUUGAAUUUAGAUACUUACACUUUGCUAGCUACGUGACUUUAGGCAAGUCCUUUUGACUUUCUGAAUCUCUGCUUCUUCCCCAGAAAAAAAAAAUAGGGAUAAAAGCAAAAUUGUGUACCUUUUAGGUUUUAUAUAAAAGCAAUAAAAUAUUGCAUGAAGAGAAUUUAGAGCACAGCCAAGUUUAUAAAUACAUUUAAUAAACAUUAGCUAUCAUCAUAAUAAAUAUGGUCUAAAAUCAAAACAGGAGGAGAGAACUAAGAAAAAGAUCAUUUUAAUUGUAUCAAGAAUGAAUAGAAUUGUAAUGCUGGAUAACCUCUAAAAGUUUUUUCUAAAGUAGAUAUUUAUAUGAUUGCAUUCUGAAACAAAGUUCUAACCUCUCUUCUACAUUUUAACCUGUGGUAAUCAUGCUUAAAACUUUAAAUAUGUCUUAAAUUAGCUCAUUUUAGGAGGCAUAAAGAUGAUGACCUAUAAACUAUUGAGUAGGAUUGAAAGUUGUAGAGCAUUCAAAACACUGUAAUGGUUUCCAGUACACCCAUUCCAAAGGUCACAAAUUCCCCAAUCUCUGGCUGUCUUUAAACUAACUUGUACUGAAAGCAACUGAUUCUUAUAAUGACUUGUCACAACUCUCAGUGAGAAACCAUCAAGUGAGAAUUAAAAGAAACAAAUUUCUUGCUGACUAAUUUAUUCAUAGAUAUUUCGAACUUAGAAGGACCAUAUAGAAUUAGAUAAUGUAAUACAACCACCACUUUAUAAAAGGGGGAGUAAAAACCUAAGAAGCUAAUUUGUUUGCCGAAUAUGACAAAGGAAAUACGUAGCAGAAAUAGCUUUAAUACUAGUUUUCUAAGCUAGUUUUCUACCCUUUCCAUAGUAAAACUUACAGUGUAUUAUUUUUAUAAAAUUGACUGUUCCAUAUGAACAGGAAGACAAUGUGGCAUUACAAGAAUAAAAUAAGUGCUAUUAUCUGCUAUUUUGGACAGUUCUUUAUUGUAGCUCUUAUGAUAGUAUGCACCUUUGCAUGUAAACAUACUUCAGCAGCUGGAACCCAGAAGCAAUGCUUCACAUGGAAGCACUUUACAUUUGGUCUCCUUGCUUUAUGUCUCAGUCUGCUUUUAUCAAUCAAAAGACAAAAAUAAUUUAUAAGAGAAAAGACACUGCAUUAACAUCAAAAUGCCGAUUCUUUGGGAAUGAAAUGGAGAAUAUGUAAAUUUUAAAAAUAUUGAACUAAUAAAAAGAGCUAGGCUAAGACACUCAGUAUCAGGAUGAAAAAUGUCAAAUUCAUAAUUUUUUUGUUGGAGAAGAUAUAUUUAUUUGUGGUUAUUUCAUAAUUUCAUUAUUUGUGGUAACUUUGCAUAUAAAUAUCACUUUAAAAAUAGAUAUAUAUAUAUACUUUUGUUGCUUAGUGAAUUUCAAGGAAGAUAUAAUGUAUAUGCACACAACACAAUUGUAAAGAUAAUUCUAGACUUGAAUUUAUUUUUUUCUAUGACAUUAAGGUUGACUUGAGAUUCUUACUGCAUUUGAGCUUUUAAAACAUUUUUUGAUUGCCUUGUUAGUGGUUCAGAACACUCCAGAGAAACACAAGAAUCAGACUCUUUAGAAUUAUAUCUGUUAUUCUAAUUUCUUGCUGUGAGACCUUGAGCAAGUUAACUAAUUCACCUAAACUUCAGUCUUCUCAUUUCUAAAAUGGGAAUUAUAUGGAAUCUACCCUUAGAAUUGUGGAGAUCAAAUAUGACAGGGUAUGAAAAUGGUUCUCCAUCCUAGAACUCAUCACCACCCCAGUCCUCACAUUGGUUGGCAUUUCUCUUGCAUACUACCAAAUACAAUAGCUGAUACUUCAGACAGAAAAUGAGCUUACAGGCUAAAAUAAAGUUCAUAAAAUGGGGGAGGGAAAAAAGAGCACUGACACUGUAUUGAAACAGUGCUUUUAUCUGACUGUUGUAUUAUGGGUAAUUAUUGUUUUCAUUAUAAUUUUCUGGCAUUUUCUAAGUUUUUGGCCAAAAGCACAAUAGGGCUUCUUAAUUUGUAUUAUCAGAAUAAGUGAGGUAACAUCUUUUUAAAAUAAGAUUUAAUUUCAUCAUCUCAAGGAUUCAUAGAAUUCCAUAUUUGCAAGUAAGUUUUUAUCAAAGCUUUAUAAUCCCCUUUAAAAUUUAUUUUGUUUUGCAUGUUUGAAUAUCAUUUUUUAAAAGUCAAAUAGAUGUCAUGAUAUGUUCAGUAGUCCCCCAAACCACUCUCAGGUUCAAUGAUCUAUUAGAAGAACUCACAGAACUCAGGUUUAUUUCAGUGAAAGUGUACAGAUUAAACACAUAGAGUCCAGGAGAGAAGAGGCGCAUGCUUUCAGUUCUCCUCUCCCGGUGGAGUCACAGGGACAAUGCUUAAUUAAUUCAGUAAGUGUGUGACAAUAUGCAAAAAUAUUGACAACCAGGGAAGCUCAAUCUGAUAACUUGGAACUUUGGGGUCUAGAUUUAUUAUUGGUCAUUGCUCAAUAGACCAAUAAUAUAUACUUAUACUGAUACAUACUUACGUCAUUUGAAAAAGCCAUAUACCUAAUAUCAUUGGGGUGUCUAUGUGUGUGUGUGUGUGUGUAUACACACAUGCACUGGUGUAUAACUG